CGAACGCUGGCGGCGUGCCUAACACAUGCAAGUCGAACGGUAACAGGGGCUUCGGUCCGCUGACGAGUGGCGCACGGGUGAGUAACGCGUGGAUAUCUGCCUAUUAGUGGGGGACAACUUGUGGAAACGCAAGCUAAUACCGCAUAAUCCCUACGGGGGAAAGCAGGGGACCUUCGGGCCUUGUGCUGAUAGAUGAGUCCGCGUCUGAUUAGCUAGAUGGUGGGGUAAAGGCCUACCAUGGCGAUGAUCAGUAUCUGGUUUGAGAGGAUGAUCAGACACACUGGAACUGAGACACGGUCCAGACUCCUACGGGAGGCAGCAGUGGGGAAUUUUGCACAAUGGAGGAAACUCUGAUGCAGCGACGCCGCGUGUGGGAAGAAGGCUUUAGGGUUGUAAACCACUUUCAAUUGGGAAGAAGAGAAGAGUGCUAAUAUCAUUCUGAUUUGACGGUACCUUUAGAAGAAGCACCGGCUAAUUUC
rnacentral:rRNA from 1 species